GACGAACGCUGGCGGCGUGCUUAACACAUACAAGUCGAGCGGAAAGGCCCUUUCGGGGGUACUCGAGCGGCGAACGGGUGAGUAACACGUGAGUAAUCUGCCCUGGACUCUGGGAUAGCCACCGGAAACGGUGAUUAAUACCGGAUAUGACACCUUGCUGCAUGGUGGGGUGUGGAAAGUUUUUUCGGUCCAGGAUGUGCUCGCGGCCUAUCAGCUUGUUGGUGAGGUAAUGGCCCACCAAGGCUUUGACGGGUAGCCGGCCUGAGAGGGUGACCGGCCACCAUGGGACUGAGACACGGCCCAGACUCCUACGGGAGGCAGCAGUGGGGAAUAUUGGACAAUGGGCGGAAGCCUGAUCCAGCAACGCCGCGUGAGGGAUGACGGCCUUCGGGUUGUAAACCUCUUUCAGUACCGACGAAGCGAAAGUGACGGUAGGUACAGAAGAAGGACCGGCCAACUACGUGCCAGCCGCCGCGGUAAAAC
rnacentral:rRNA from 1 species